GUUCUCUCUUCAGCAGCACAUAAACUAAAAUUGGAACGGUACAGAGAAGACUAACAUGGCCCCGGUACAAGGAUGACACACAAAUCUGUGAGGCAUUCCAUAUUUUU
ensembl:snRNA U6 U6 spliceosomal RNA